AGGCUAUUCGAUUAGCGGUGAAAUCGCGGAUCUUACACAUCCGAGCCGUAGGUUCGAUUCCUACAUGGCCUA
rfam:Debaryomyces hansenii mitochondrion, complete genome.